rnacentral:sRNA from 1 species
CUCAGUAACGGCGAGUGAAGCGGCAACAGCUCAAAUUUGAAAGCUGGCCCCCCCGGGGGUCCGCGUUGUAAUUUGUAGAGGAUGAUUCGGCGAGGGCUCCCGCCUAAGUCCCCUGGAACGGGGCGUCAUAGAGGGUGAGAAUCCCGUAUGCGGUGGGCUGCCUUAGCCAUGUGAAUCUCCUUCGACGAGUCGAGUUGUUUGGGAAUGCAGCUCUAAAUGGGAGGUAAAUUUCUUCUAAAGCUAAAUACCGGCCAGAGACCGAUAGCGCACAAGUAGAGUGAUCGAAAGAUGAAAAGCACUUUGGAAAGAGAGUUAAAAAGUACGUGAAAUUGUUGAAAGGGAAGCGCUUGCAGCCAGACUUGUCCGCAGUUGCUCAGCCGGUCUCCUGACCGGCGCACUCUUCUGCGGCCAGGCCAGCAUCAGUUCGGGCGGUCGGAUAAAGGCCCCGGGAACGUAGCUCCUCUCGGGGAGUGUUAUAGCCCGGGGUGGAAUGCGGCCAGCCUGGACUGAGGAUCUCGCUUCGGCUAGGAUGCUGGCGUAAUGGCUGUAAGCGGCCCGUCUUGAAACACGGACCAAGGAGUCUAACAUCUAUGCGAGUGUUUGGGUGUCAAACCCAUGCGCGUAAUGAAAGUGAACGGAGGUGGGAACCCUCGCGGGUGCACCAUCGACCGAUCCUGAUGUCUUCGGAUGGAUUUGAGUAAGAGCAUAGCUGUUGGGACCCGAAAGAUGGUGAACUAUGCCUGAAUAGGGUGAAGCCAGAGGAAACUCUGGUGGAGGCUCGCAGCGGUUCUGACGUGCAAAUCGAUCGUCAAAUUUGGGUAU